rnacentral:rRNA from 1 species
CAAUAGCGUAUAUUUAAGUUGCUGCAGUUAAAAAGCUCGUAGUUGGAUUUCGGGUGGGAAUGGCCGGUCCGCCGUUUCGGUGUGCACUUGCUACGCCCACCUUGCUGCCGGGGACGUGCUCUUGAGUUCCCGCUCGGGACACGGAGUCGGCGAGGUUACUUUGAGUAAAUUAGAGUGUUCAAAGCAGGCCUACGCUCUGAAUACAUUAGCAUGGAAUAACACGAUAGGACUCUGGCCUAUCUUGUUGGUCUGUAGGACCGGAGUAAUGAUUAAGAGGGACAGUCGGGGGCAUUCGUAUUUCAUUGUCAGAGGUGAAAUUCUUGGAUUUAUGAAAGACGAACUACUGCGAAAGCAUUUGCCAAGGAUGUUUUCAUUAA